UUAGGCCACAGAUGUCCUGAAAUCUGCCAACCAGUAGCUAUUCAUAACUUCUUUCUUUGUCUCUAAAUGUAAAUUCAUAUGGGGGAAACGAACAAACAAAAAUACCAGUAUGAGGUUUAGCAUGAUGCAAAAGAUCUGAUAGAAAAGCUGGUGGAAAAAGGAGGACAAAGGCAGGUGUAUCCUGCAAAAAGUGACAUUAGGCCAGAUGUUGAUCUUUAGUUUAAAGUAUUAAACAGCCUGUAGAGCAUCCAUUUAGCCAGCAAGGUCACUCCAUCUCUGAACAUGUGUCAGCUCAGACUUGGGAGUAGUGCUUUGUUAAAUCUCCACGUUCUCUUGUACUAAUAGUGUAAAUAUUCUCCUCCCUCAAAACAGCCCUCCAUGUUUGUCUUUAUCAUCUUCAUAUAAAUGUCAAACACUAUUUGCUUACAUUUGCAUAGAGCCUCAGUUCUUGUCACUAUGAUUAAAGACCUGGUAUCACAGCUGCACAGUACAACCUGAGGGGGAAGAAAGAAGAGUCAUUUUUUUCCUCUCAGGCAGAAAAUGUGGAAUUGCUGGCACGCUGUAUAGGUGCACUUAUUCUAGUGAAAGAAGGCAAACAGCAUUCAUCAGAAUGAAAAGCAGAAACAAGGCAAGUUAAAUGAUAAACUAUACUUGAUACCCAGGGCUAGAAAUCUGAACAUCCUUUUCUUUUCUCUGCCACAAACUGAUUUUGUAAUUAGGCAAGUCACUUCAUCCUCCUGCCCAGUGUUUCCCUUUCCACAAUUAAUUUUAAUCUGCUUAGAUCCUGAUGUCUUCCAAGAAAGGUUUGCCUCCUGUUCUAUUUUUAUACUGUACCUAGUACAAAGUGACAGCAGUCAUUGUUUAAGCUUCUAUUUGCUGCAAUAAUAAAUGAUCUAGACAGUUAUUUAGAAAGGGAAGUUACAAGGCUUAUGGGAAUAGAUCACUAAUUAGGAAGGAUGUGAAUACAUUGAGUAAAGAAUAGAAUAGAUGUCUCAGGAUCCUUUCCAAUUUAUCCCUAAGGUCACUGAGUAAAAAAGGGAAGUUUAUCCUCAAGCCUAUUACAUUCUCUUUGCUUCUGGAAACACUCAGAAGGACAGUUCUUGGACGGCCCCAAAACAGAUGAUCUAGGCCUGCCACAGAAUCAUAGAAUCAUCAAGGCUGGAAAAGUCCACUAGGAUCAUCCAGUCCAACCAUCAACCCAUCCCCACCAUGCCCACUAAACCAUGUCCUUCAGUGCUACAUCUCCACAUUCCUUGAACAUCUCCAGGGACGGUGACUCCACCACCUGCCCAGGCAGCCUGUUCCAAUACUUGCCAUCACUCAGCGUUUUGACAGUCUCCAUCCUAUUGCUAAUUACUUGCAUUUAUAUAGUUUCAUAUCAGUAAACAUCAAGUUCUUCUUGUUCUCUACAUAAUACUUGAAUACCCUUGUUCAUGAGACUCUGGACAAUUCCAUACACACAGCCACAGUAAGGCAGCAAGGCCAUUCUGGAAAUGGAGCACCAAGUGAGGGGUUACAAUAUCUUGAUGAGUUAGGGUGGUAUGGUUAGGCCACACGUUGCCAAUUCUAUCCCUAAAUAAAUUCUUCCUUAACCCACAACAUGCAGGUUCAAAAUCUUAACACCACUUCUCUUCUCUAGCAGAACUGGCAGUCAGUUCAUAUCAAAUUAUUUUUAGGCCCAUGAUUUCAAACUUCGAUGUUAAAAACUCCAGUUAAUGAAAAUAUUGAUCAGGUGCAUAAUUUCAAGCAGAAGGGGUUAAAAUAUAUUUUUCUAUUAAUUUAUUUUAAUUUUAUUAGAGUCAGUGAUGUCACAUGAUGCUGACCUUCACCCUGUAGCUUAUAUAUAAGCUAUAUUUAGAAAAAGUUGUAUAUAUAAAACUCCUAUAUAACUUAGGAAAAUUAUGGAAUCGUAGAAUGACAGAGUGGAUUAGGAUGGAGAGUAUCUUAAAGAUCAUCUAGUUUUAACUCCCUCCCAUGGGUUGUUGUCACCCAUGAGAUAAGGGUGCCCAGGGCCCCGUCCAACAUAGCCUUCAGUUCUUCCAGAGAUGGGGCAUUCACAUAUUCUAUAGGCAGCCUGUGGCAGUGCCUCACCUACCUUGAGUAAGGAAUUUCUUCCUAACAUCUAACCUAAAUCUCCCCUCUUUAAAUUUAAAACCAUUUCCUCUUGUCCUGUCAAAAUAGUCUUCAAUAAGCUACGAAUCACUGUCUUGCCAAGCCACUGAAAGUCUGCAUUAUGUUGACUAACAACAGCAGAAAAAAGGAGUACCCAUUUUCAUUUCAUUCCAUAUUCCCUUUGCGUAUAUAUUAUUUUGACAUCAUUGUUUCUUCAAG
ensembl:lncRNA